rnacentral:rRNA from 1 species
ACCCGCUGAACUUAAGCAUAUCACUAAGCGGAGGAAAAGAAAUUAACUAAGAUUGCCUCAGUAACGGCGAGUGAAGCGGCAAGAGCCCAAGCUGGAAAUCUUCACACUGCGUGUGACGAAUUGUAAUCUAAAGAGGGUUCGCUCAACGGGCGGUGGCGCAGAAGUGCCUUAGAACGGGCCGCCAGAGAGGGUGACAGCCCCGUAUGUGGUGCCACUGCCUAACGAGCGGGUCCCCGAAGAGUCGGGUUGUUUUGUAUUGCAGCCCUAAGUGGGAGAUAAACUUCUUCUAAGGCUAAAUACCUAUGGGAAACCGAUAGCGAACAAGUACUGUGAAGGAAAGAUGAAAAGAACUUUGAAAAGAGAGUCAAAAGACUUGAAAUCGUUGAGAAGGAAGCGGUAGAAAUUUAUUCUUCGGCGGUGAACGGUGACUUCUGCCUAUCCAUUGCCGGCUGCCAGCACUUCAUAAGGCUGCGGCCGGCACAUGGGGAAGCGGCUGUCUUGUUCUCCGUCGUGAGGCAAAAUGAGGUCGCACAUCCGCAGAGGCUUCCCAAACCUGGCCCGAUUCGUCGGGCAGUUUGGGUUCGCCGGCGGGCGUGCGGCCUGAGGGUGCUUCGUGCGAUUUUGCCAAAAUGGUUUU